rnacentral:rRNA from 1 species
GGCCUACACCAUACCACCCCGAACACGAACACGCCAAUCCCAUCUGAUCUUGGAAGCUAAGCAGGGUCAGGCGGGUGAGUGCGUGGGUGGGAGAAAGGGGAACGUUUGUAAGUCA